rnacentral:misc_RNA from 1 species
UAACACAUAAAUGCCAAUGAGAAGAGCCACUACUUGGAAGGGAGUAACAUACAGAACUACUGCAGCUAUCAGACAGAAAAUCACGAAUAGAGUUGUUGCUCUUGGAUCUCUCCAGCUCAGUAGAGAUUGGAAUCUUUCCCCUUGAGUUGCCAAGUCACCAACUACUGUCUGAACCCUCCCUCCUAUACUUCUGAGACGAUCAUAUCGCAUUCUAACAAUAUCUGAUGGCUUGGAAGUUGGGAAUGAGUCAAAUUCUUCAUCAAGUUCAUCAGGAUGGGCAGCAUCAGCAUGAGAUAGCCUGGUGUCCAUGUGAGGGGGAUGCUUUGGUCUCCAACGGUAAUUCCAAAUACCAAUCAAGAAAAGGUAGAGAAAAAUUGUGGGAAGUAUUAGCUCAGGAUAAAGAACUAAGAUUACGAAAACUAUGUGAAUCAAAAUGGUAGUAAGUGGGUUCUUCCAAUUGCAGAUUUGAUCAAACCAUUUUCCAACAUCAAUUAAUCCCCUUAGAACGCCCAUGAUUCUGAAAAAAUUGGCUUUGCUCCUCCUCAUGCUCCACAUAUGUGAAUCCACAUCUAACAUAUAUUCCACAACCUCCUUCCUCAGGGGCGGUUCAGCUCUGUUCAACCUCAUGGAGACAAUUUGCAUAGCGUGGUGCCUCAAGCUAUCAAGUUGAAUCACAGAUAAUGGAUGGAUGUAGUGCAUUUUGGGCAGUAAUGGAUGUGAAUACAUAUGCAACAUAUUAAUCAAUGAUGAGCAUGUGAACCGCACAGCCAAUUGGACUUCACCUGUUUUCUUCACUCCUGAUUGUUGCAAUACUAUAAGAGGAUAUGAAUGUGUAUAAACUCUAUCACUUUCGAGCGUCGAUAGCCGAAUCCUCACUUUCCCAAUUCUUGAAUCCUUUCCCCCUCCUACUCCCCCAUGUACAUGACCAUUGUCAAAUACCCCUAUAGUAAUGACAGUACACGGGUCGAAAACCUCCCAAAUGUACUGUUCAUUCCACUUUGGAGUGAAGCUGUCAACAAUUGUCCUUGUCCGGAUCCAUUUCUGCCCGUAUUUAGCCACACAAUAAGCAUCCGUUGUUCCUCGCCCAUCCUUGGUCUUCAUGGGCAUUAGCCCCACAGCACUUAGAAUCCCCAUCUCCAAAAUCCCAAUGCUGGGUCUCCACAGUUGCUUUGCUGUUGGCCUAAGGUCACUGCUAUAGUGAGUUGAUUCAUCCAAGACAUGAUAACCACCAUCCAAACAGACCCUCAAAUGAAUCCUACUAGCAAAUUUAAUCUCCUUCUUUUGUUCCCCAUCUCCAACCACAUGCUUUUCAAGAUUAUACCACCUAGUGUUAACUGGUUUAUGGUCAAGCCUCCUCUGCACAAAUUGUAUAGGGAUCACACAUUUGCCCAAAAUUUCGUCUUUGUUUGGUCCUACUCUAUCUUCCACUGUCAAAAUCAAAGGCUCCUCAAAAGGUUCAGCGACUACAAAUAUCAAGUCUUCAUUCCACAUUGGAUGAAUACUUCUACUUUGGGAUAUUCUAGUUCUCAAUGCUUGAUUUCCCAGGGUGACCUUCACAAAAGCUUCAGGGAACCUUCUAUUGUCACCAGGCACCAAAUCCUGAGCUUCAAUCACAUUGACCCUAACAUACCAAAGCUUAGGUGAAAGAUAUACCUUUGAUCGGAUGUGUGCAACCCUAUCAGGACCAACAGCUGCUGCAUCUGAAUGCCAAGCAUAAGGGAAUGCCUCGUCCGCUUGAGUUCCCAUCCAAACAGCCAGCAUCAGCUCCCCGGCCUUAAUUUUAAACCCCUUCCGAUCUUCCAGCCUAUACCAUUGUGGUGCCAAAGGGCUGUCAGGUGGAACACGUUUUGGGAUAUCAUUGAGCUCAAACAGAACCCUUCCAAUCAAAUCAUCUAAAACAACAUCCUUAUCUUUCACUGAAACCUCCAAAACUGAAGCUUGAAUUCUUUCUUUUGAGAAAGCAAAGACCUCAUCCCACACAGGAUUUGUUUUUUUCUCAAAAUGCUUAGUCAUUCCCUUAUAGUUUCCAAGCUUUACCUCAACAUAAGGGUCACAACUACCAGUAACAUCUUUACCAGGCAAAUCCCUGGCUUUCACCACACGAACAUAUAGAUAUUGCAUUUGUUCAACAAGAUCAUAGGUGCAGGCAAGCUUAUCAGUCGUGACAGCUCCUGCGCCAAUGUUCGGUGAGGUCUCCUUUAGAGCAAAGUCAACAGCUUGUGGAGGUUUCUGCAUUUUUCCUAGUUUAUAUUAAUGAAACCAGAGAUGCACAAACACCACCCAAAAGUUAUGCUAAAAGAAACAAAGACUUCAAACUUAAGAUUCUGCAACAGGGUUUGCGCUUGCAGAUGUGGAUGCCUCAGGAAUUGAAAAAGGCUUCAAAGACCUCAGUUCUUGGGAUUUUGAGGCAGCUUGGAUAAAUUUGACUCAGCGAACUUGAUGAUGGAGAUAGGAUGGAAGCUCAAAGCAACAAAAUAUGGAAGCAAAACACAGGUAUUGAUUUUGAAGUUUUAGAUAUUCAAUACACGAUGAACACAUGUAAGGACUAAAACAGAAAACAAAGGUUUAGAGAACCUCCACAGAACAUCUUUUAGGCCAAAGUGACAGAGCAACUCCACGCGCUUGAGUGAGAACUCUGAACCGGAAAGCACAAGUAUCUGCGAAAGUAAAGCAAGAAAACCAAAGUUUUAACAUUACUACUCAUCCUGAACGUUUAGGUACUGAGAAAAAUGAAAACUCAAGAAAAUGACCGCGACACCACUUGAGGUUGUGAAAUAAUACAGGAAACUACCAAAUAAGCGAGGUAUUAAUAUUUAAGCUCAAUCAUAUGGACCCAAAUACUUUUAUGCUUCAAAGUGUAAAAGCAUAACCAAGACGGAAAAAAGUUUCUCUUCUUUUGUAGAUUUUCACAGCUACCAAACAGCAUAAAAAGGCAAAGAUUACACAUUUAUCAGAGUAAUGAUUGUAUAGUUUCUACCGCUGAAACAAAAAAUCUAAUUCAAUAAAUAAACACCAAUAAAUAAGAGCAUAAGCAAGCAACUGGAGUAAGCAGAGCAGCUCAAGUAAACCCAAAUUUUCAAAGCCACAAGGAACACUUUAAUAUUCAAUAAUACCGUUUACUUGAAAGAGUGAAUAAACACAGUUUGAAGUUUCAAAAACUACUAAAACUAAUUUCAAACAACCAACAGUAGAAUAAGAAACUCAAACUGCACGUGAAGCACCAGUCUUGAAGAAAAGAGAAGAGAAGAGUUCUUGAAGGUGCAAAAAUGAAAAGUCCUUGAAUUUUAAUUUUUAGUAAAAGAGAAGAAAGAGAAUGUGGGAAAUAUAUUGGAGGUUGAAGAAUGAAGUAAUAUAGAAAUGAAAAUGUGGAGUGAAACCUGCGAAAGACUGAAUCUGCCAAUAUAAAGAAACAGAGAAC